rfam:Hordeum vulgare subsp. vulgare, WGS project CAJW01000000 data, contig: morex_contig_238489
UAUGUACUCCCUCCAUUCCAAAAUUAUUGUCUUAGGUUUAUCUAAAUAUGAAUGUAUCUAGUCAUGUUUCAAUAUCUAGAUGUGCCCAUAUCUUAAAGAAUCUAAGACAAGAAUUUUGAGACGGAGGGAGUACUUG